rnacentral:rRNA from 1 species
AUUCCAGCUCCAAUAGCGUAUAUUAAAGUUGUUGCGGUUAAAAAGCUCGUAGUUGGAUUUCUGCCGAGGAUGACCGGUCCGCCCUGUGGGUGUGCAUCUGGCUCAGCCUUGGCAUCUUCCUGAAGAACGUAGCUGCACUUGACUGUGUGGUGCGGUAUUUAGGACAUUUACUUUGAGGAAAUUAGAGUGUUUCAAGCAAGCGCACGCUUUGAAUACAUUAGCAUGGAAUAAUAAGAUAGGACCUCGGUUCUAUUUCGUUGGUUUCUAGGACCGAAGUAAUGAUUAAUAGGGACAGUUGGGGGCAUUCACAUUCCAUUGUCAGAGGUGAAAUUCUUGAAUUAACGGAAGAUGAACUUCUGCGAAAGCAUCUGCCAAGGAUGUUUUCAUCA